UUUUUCAUUGUUCGAUUGAUUUCAAAAUUUUCAUACACAUAGAAAAAUAAGUCUAAUAUCCUUUCACACAAGUUUCACUCUAAUCGAACUAGUAGAUUGUAAGAAAUCUUAAAAACCCUCACUAGAGCUAAAAUUCUACUUUUUGAGACCUUGACCCACUUAAACCUCAAUAUCCUUCAAUUCAACCGUUAGAUUGAGCUCAAAUUCAUAAAACAUAUUGAAAUCAACUAUAAACAUAAACCCAAAAAAUUUCACCCAUAGAUCUAUUAAAAAAAACUCUUGAAAUCAUCCAAAAUAUAAACCCUAUUUUAUUUCAUAAAAUCCAAGUCAUCCGAAACAAAUCUUGACUUUGCAAAGCUAUUACAAAGUCAAUACAGAUCCAAAUCACCCAAAAUCAAUAGCCAUAGAAACCCUAUUCAAUCUUCUAUCAAACUCCCAUUCUCUGAUCU
rnacentral:lncRNA from 1 species